UACAGAGGUCUCAAGCGUUGUUCGGAUUCAUUGGGCGUAAAGGGUGCGUAGGCGGCGCGGUAAGUCGGGUGUGAAAUCUCGGAGCUUAACUCCGAAACUGCAUUCGAUACUGCGGUGCUUGAGGACUGGAGAGGAGACUGGAAUUCAUGGUGUAGCAGUGAAAUGCGUAGAGAUCAUGAGGAAGACCAGUGGCGAAGGCGGGUCUCUGGACAGUUCCUGACACUGAGACACGAAGGCCAGGGGAGCAAGCGGG
rnacentral:rRNA from 1 species